UCAGGUACUUGCCAUGAUCACACAGGUUGUAAGUGGCAGAGCCAGGAUUCAAUCCCAGUUAGUCUGGCACCAGAGCCUACAUCUUAACCACCAAGCAGACUGUCUAC
rnacentral:miRNA from 1 species